rnacentral:rRNA from 1 species
AUUGAACGCUGGCGGCAGGCCUAACACAUGCAAGUCGAGCGGAAGAAGGGAGCUUUCUCCUGGAUUCCGCGGCGGACGGGUGAGUAAUGCCUGUGAAUCUGCCUGGUAGGGGGGGAUGACGUCCUGAGACGGGCGCUACUACCGCAUACGUCCUGAGGGUGAAGGAUGGGGAGCUUCGGACCUCACCCGCUCAGAUGAGCCUAGGUCGGGUUUGAUAGUUGGUGGGGUAAGGGCCUACCAAGGCGACGAUCCGUAACUGGUCUGAGAGGAUGAUAAGUCACACUGGAGCUGAGACACGGUCCAGACUCCUACGGGAGGCAGCAGUGGGGAAUAUUGGACAAUGGGCGAAAGCCUGAUCCAGCCAUGCCGCGCGUGUGAAGAAGGUCUUCGGAUUGUAAAGCACUUUAAGUUGGGAGGAAGGGCAGUAAGUUAAUACCUUGCUGUUUUGACGUUACCAACAGAAUAAGCACCGGCUAACUUCGUG